UUCAACCUACAAGGACUUCUUGCCAUGUAU
rnacentral:piRNA from 1 species